CUGAGCCAUCUAGGAAGCCCAACCCCAUGUUAGCGAUGAAGAAACUGAGGCUCAAAGAAUACAUGUCCUCAGAACUGUCUCCUGAACCAGGUACCCUGGCCCCAGAGAUGGUCAGCUCCCAGGAUAAUGUGUUUAGUUCCUAUAGGACGAAAAGUGCAACCUGCAAAAUAUCUCAACACACUGAGCACAGAAGCAGAGGAGAAGACCUAGCUAUCUUCUGACCAGCCAGACAUUAAAGUAAUCUGUAAAACACUGCCCCUCUUCUUACUAAAUGUUCUCUUUCUUUCAAGUACAGUUGGUUUCAUUUG